rnacentral:rRNA from 1 species
UACGGAGGGUGCAAGCGUUAAUCGGAUUUAUUGGGCGUAAAGGGCGCGUAGGCGGACGUGCAAGUCGGACGUGAAAUCCCAGGGCUCAACCCUGGAACAGCAUCCGAAACUGCACAUCUAGAGGAUAGAAGGAGAAAACGGAAUUCCACAAGUAGCGGUGAAAUGCGUAGAUAUGUGGAAGAACACCUGUGGCGAAGGCGGUUUUCUAUUUUAGACCUGACGCUGAGGCGCGAAAGCAAGGGGAGCAAACAGG